rnacentral:rRNA from 1 species
UGGUGGAGUGAUUUGUCUGGUUAAUUCCGAUAACGAACGAGACCUUAACCUGCUAAAUAGUUGCGUCCACUUUGGUGAACGAUCAACUUCUUAGAGGGACUAUGCACGUUUAGUGCAUGGAAGUUUGAGGCAAUAACA